GUACUUGCUUCGGCGUACAUAUACUAAAAUUGGAAAGAUACAGGAAAGAUUAGCAGGGCCCCCGCGCAAAGGGGGUGACACCAAAAAACGUGAAGCGUUUCCCCAUUUU